AAUACCAAGGCGCUUGAGAGAACUCGGGUGAAGGAACUAGGCAAAAUGGUGCCGUAACUUCGGGAGAAGGCACGCUGAUAUGUAGGUGAAGCGACUUGCUCGUGGAGCUGAAAUCAGUCGAAGAUACCAGCUGGCUGCAACUGUUUAUUAAAAACACAGCACUGUGCAAACACGAAAGUGGACGUAUACGGUGUGACGCCUGCCCGGUGCCGGAAGGUUAAUUGAUGGGGUUAGCGGUAACGCGAAGCUCUUGAUCGAAGCCCCGGUAAACGGCGGCCGUAACUAUAACGGUCCUAAGGUAGCGAAAUUCCUUGUCGGGUAAGUUCCGACCUGCACGAAUGGCGUAAUGAUGGCCAGGCUGUCUCCACCCGAGACUCAGUGAAAUUGAACUCGCUGUGAAGAUGCAGUGUACCCGCGGCAAGACGGAAAGACCCCGUGAACCUUUACUAUAGCUUGACACUGAACAUUGAGCCUUGAUGUGUAGGAUAGGUGGGAGGCUUUGAAGUGUGGACGCCAGUCUGCAUGGAGCCGACCUUGAAAUACCACCCUUUAAUGUUUGAUGUUCUAACGUUGGCCCGUAAUCCGGGUUGCGGACAGUGUCUGGUGGGUAGUUUGACUGGGGCGGUCUCCUCCUAAAGAGUAACGGAGGAGCACGAAGGUUGGCUAAUCCUGGUCGGACAUCAGGAGGUUAGUGCAAUGGCAUAAGCCAGCUUGACUGCGAGCGUGACGGCGCGAGCAGGUGCGAAAGCAGGUCAUAGUGAUCCGGUGGUUCUGAAUGGAAGGGCCAUCGCUCAACGGAUAAAAGGUACUCCGGGGAUAACAGGCUGAUACCGCCCAAGAGUUCAUAUCGACGGCGGUGUUUGGCACCUCGAUGUCGGCUCAUCACAUCCUGGGGCUGAAGUAGGUCCCAAGGGUAUGGCUGUUCGCCAUUUAAAGUGGUACGCGAGCUGGGUUUAGAACGUCGUGAGACAGUUCGGUCCCUAUCUGCCGUGGGCGCUGGAGAACUGAGGGGGGCUGCUCCUAGUACGAGAGGACCGGAGUGGACGCAUCACUGGUGUUCGGGUUGUCAUGCCAAUGGCACUGCCCGGUAGCUAAAUGCGGAAGAGAUAAGUGCUGAAAGCAUCUAAGCACGAAACUUGCCCCGAGAUGAGUUCUCCCUGAGACUUUAAGUCUCCUGAAGGAACGUUGAAGACGACGACGUUGAUAGGCCGGGUGUGUAAGCGCAGCGAUGCGUUGAGCUAACCGGUACUAAUGAACCGUGAGG
rnacentral:rRNA from 1 species